rfam:Medicago truncatula strain A17 chromosome 6, whole genome shotgun sequence.
AUAUAUGCAAAUUUUACUUUUUAGGUUCAUUCAAUUAAUGAUGUAUGUGGUUUAUGACAUGAACUACAUACAUCAUUAAUUGAAUGAACCUAAAAAGUAAAAUUUGCUUAUAU